rnacentral:rRNA from 1 species
UGAGGAAUAUUGGACAAUGGGCGCAAGCCUGAUCCAGCCAUGCCGCGUGCAGGAUGACGGUCCUAUGGAUUGUAAAGCACUUUAAGUUGGGAGGAAGGGCAGUUACCUAAUACGUGAUUGUUUUGACGUUACCGACAGAAUAAGCACCGGCUAACUCUGUGCCAGCAGCCGCGGUAAUACAGAGGGUGCAAGCGUUAAUCGGAAUUACUGGGCGUAAAGCGCGCGUAGGUGGUUAGUUAAGUUGGAUGUGAAAUCCCCGGGCUCAACCUGGGAACUGCAUUCAAAACUGACUGACUAGAGUAUGGUAGAGGGUGGUGGAAUUUCCUGUGUAGCGGUGAAAUGCGUAGAUAUAGGAAGGAACACCAGUGGCGAAGGCGACCACCUGGACUGAUACUGACACUGAGGUGCGAAAGCGUGGGGAGCAAACAGGAUUAGAUACCCCAGUAGUCCCUGAGCGGGCUGGCAAGGCGCAU